rnacentral:lncRNA from 1 species
UAAAAACUUGAAAGGUGAAAUCAAUAAAACUUCUGAAUGCAUGAAGAAAUAUAUUUAAGCAAAACAAAAAAGAUAUUUGAAUCUUACCUUAAAUUUGCAGCUACCUAAAUAUUUUAUUGUUCCUAAAUCUCUCUCCUGUUCUUUAUAACGAUGCUCUGGAUUUAGAGAAAAAGAAGAUUUUUUUAUUGGGUACACUUCCUCUU